rnacentral:rRNA from 1 species
UACAGAGGGUGCGAGCGUUGUUCGGAAUUAUUGGGCGUAAAGCGCAUGUAGGCGGCUUGUUAAGUCGCGUGUGAAAGCUCCAGGCUCAACCUGGAAAGUGCGCGCGAAACUGGCGAGCUUGAGUGCCGGAGAGGGUGGCGGAAUUCCCGGUGUAGAGGUGAAAUUCGUAGAUAUCGGGAGGAACACCAGAGGCGAAGGCGGGCCACCUGGACGGACACUGACGCUGAGACGCGAAAGCGUGGGGAGCAAACAGGAUUGAGAA